UCCUUUUGCUUUUAACAAAUCCUUGAGGGC
rnacentral:piRNA from 1 species